rnacentral:rRNA from 1 species
UACAAAUAGUCCAAAUUAAGAUAAAUACGGCAAAAAAGAAGGUUAAAAAAUCUAAAAUAAUUGAGAAAAACUAAGUUUUUUAUAAAGGUGGAAUUUGUGUAAAAAUUUUUGUUUUUUGUUUUCUCUUAAUUUUGAUGCCUUGAAAUCUUAGUUAAAAACCGGGAUUAGAUACCCCGUUAUUUAAGGUGUAAAUUUUAAUUUGUUUAAAUUUGCCUGAGUACUACGAGUUUAUAUAAAUUAUUUUAUAUAUAAUAUCUUAAAACUCAAAAGACUUGGCGGUGUCUUAAAUCCUUCCAGGGGAACCUGUCCCAUAAUCGAUAGUCCACGAUAUAACUUUCCUUUUUUUGAAUCCAUAAAAAUGAGAUCAGCUUGUAUACCGUCGUCGUCAGAUUACCUUUAAGAGUAGUUUAGUUAUCUAAAAGAUAAUGAUUAUAUAAAAUUUAGAUUAUUAGAAUUAUUCUCUGAUCUAGUUGUUGAUUUAUUCUAGACGUCAGAUCAAGGUGCAGCCUAUAAAAAGGAGGAGAUGGGUUACAAUAAUGAUUUAUUAUACGAAUUUCUUUAUGUAAUUUAAGAUUGAAGGCGGACUUGGAAGUAAUUAUAAAGAGAAGAGAGCUUUAGUGAAGUUGGUUCUAAGACGUGC